rnacentral:lncRNA from 1 species
AUAAUAAAAAGAUGAAAAAACAUCACAACAGGUUUACCAAAGUUGUGGUCUGUUUUAAGUGUUUACUUUCAAUAAAUCAACACUUCUAGCAUCAAAAACAAAUGCAAAGAUACAUAACUGGUUUAUAUAGUAUAAUUAUAUAAUCAAUUUUAAAAUAUAAAUUCUGCGUGCACGCCAGGCCCUGAGGCCUGAUGGCAAGUUUUAAAGUUCAUUUAAGGAAAUCAACUUUUAUCUGUUCUGUCAAGCUGUCCCUGUGAAUGUUCAUUAAGCGCCAUUUGGGAAAAAGGCUACAUUUGAGGCCUUUUGUGACUAGAAGGCCUGAGCCAGAUCCUCCCAUGCCCCAGACCGUGGGGCUGAUCCUCUCUCCAACACUUUGACUGGAGCUCUGUCUCUCUACCUCCCCAAGACACACACACACACACACACACACACACACACACACACACACGUACACACAAACACGAUCCAUCUGUGGGAUUACGGUUUUACCCGGCUCCAUUCCUGUCUUAGAAGCUCAUUCUUGCUUUAAUAUUAAACACAGCACGCCCAGAUACAAGUUGUUCUCCUUUCACGAAAUCGAAUUAAACUUUCAUGAGGGCUCAUGAGUUCCUCUGUGUGGUUUUCCCUUCAGCUUCCCCGCAGAAGCCAACAAAUUCUCAAUUACUUUAACCCUUUCCUCCCAGCUCCAAGUGGCCACUCGGCAGCUGGGGGACAAUGUUUGCAUAACCUAUGAUGAUAGAACAUGCUGUACCUACUAUUUUUGAAUUAGGGGUUGUUUAUGAAUGGCAUGAACACAGUAGCCAGGGGUCACAGCUAACUCAGUAACAGUGUGAAUCCAGGUUUAGCUUUCUUGCCAGAAUAAUUUGCAUGUGUCCUUUUUACUAGAUAAAGAGAAAGACUGAACUCACCGUGUUCUAUACACACUUUUGCCUUGGCUACCAAGAAACGCAGCUAAAUUUAGAGCUCUAUUGAAAUCUUGAGAUUGCACUGUACAUAUAUUAAAAUGGAAAUACGUGUUUUUAAUGACUUUCUGUCUUUACUUAGACAAUAGCUUCUUGGGAGGCAGAGACGUUCUGACUCCUUACCUGAUUUUUUUGAUAUUAAUAAGAUGAUCAAUGAAUGUUGAAAGUUUUGAUGAGGAAUGAAUAUCAACCUAUGCUCUUGGUCCAGUUCUUUCUCUUCUCUUAAAAUAGUCUAAGUCUUCUGGUUUAGGUAAACCAUGUCACCACUUGCUGUUUUUUGGUGCAAGCUACCUCAAUUUUUUUAAAAAAUUGGUGAUUAUAAGUUGUAAAUGAAUAGAUGAGAAAAAUGAAAGGAAGGAAGGAAUGGAGGGAGGAAGGGAGAGAGGGAAGCUGGUUCUCCCAAGAGAGAGAGGGAGGGUGGCUGAGACAGAAGAAGAGAAACCCAAGUUCAGGAGCCAAUUCUUUAAGAGAACUGCCUCUACAGGAACCAGAGUAUGCAGUUAGCAUAGCAAUACUUAGCUUGAUUCUGAUACAUACCCACUUUUUGUAGUAUUGAACAUAUUCAUUGAAUAGGCUAAUUCAUAUUUAUUGAAAAAAGUUUGAGAAAAGAUAGAAUAGUAAAAAUAGUAACAGCUACAACUUAUUGCUUACUAUGAGCUAGCUACCUUGCCAAGAAUUUUAUGUUCUUAAUCUCAUUUCCUUACAACCCUGAAAGGUAGAUAUGAUAAUCCCCAUUUUUGAGAAUAGAAGUAAAGGCUUGGUGAUAAUAAUUCACUUACCUAAGGAGGCAUAUCUGGGCUGUCAAUUCUCUGCUCCAACUCUCUUACCAGGAUGUCUCUUUGUUUUCUGCAAUGAGGAGGCUGAACACAAAGAGAUCCUUUUUCCCCUUUUAGCUUAUUUCUGUCCCACCCACUGUCCCACCCAUGAAGGAAUCCAUCAAAGAUGGUGAAAGACUGUAUCUCUAAGAGGCAGAAAUGGGGGUCCUGAGACCCCCCAUUUCAGAUUCAGAAAUGAUCACGACUCUAUGCUCACUUUUUCUCCAAUCUUUCCCUCCAGAUCAUGAAUCUUGGUCUACUUGUUAAGAAGACGUGAGAGAUGGCCCCUGUUUUGUUAAUUCUCCUCUGUUCAGUCUUAUUGAUGACAGGAGGAGGGGGUUUUAAACUCAAGCAGACCUUGCUAUGCACAUAUUAGUCUUGGUCUCCUUUGUGUUAAAUUAGAAAAGUGAAAGGAAAGAAAAAAUCUACAGGCCCUAGUAAGAGGAAUCACCUGAAGAAUUCUAAAUUUCAUUCACUUUGUCAUGUUUCAACAAGUCAUCAUAGAGUGUUACUAUGACCUCAGUCUAGUGCUCACUAUACUGAAGUUGCUUAAACUCAGGUUAUAAAAACAGAUACUAAAGCAUGCAAAUAUAAAUUACUUGAUCCGGUUCAUUUUAAAAUUUAUCAUUCAUUCAUUUCAGUAAUUCCUCUGCUCAAAAAAGAGACCUUAGCCAAAGGUCAGGGACCUUAGCCAAAGCCCCCUAGUUGAAGGAUCAAGGGUGAUGAGAGAGAAAGAGAGAAAGACAAACAGGCAUAUGACUCUGAAGGCCAGCCAGAAGACAGAGAGGAGGAAGCUUAGAGAGAACUAGACCUCUGAAUUCAAGGAAAAGAGAGAAUCAAGAGGAAUAGGGAAGUGAGGAGGGUCAAAUGCCACAUGGAGGGGGUAAAAGUCUCCCCUGAACUCAACAGGUAAAGACAAGGAGGAGUGUUUCUGGAAGAAAGAAUGUUAUGAGCAAUGCAUUCACAGAGGCAGGUGUGAACGUGGUUUCCACAGAGUAAAACCUUACAAAUCACCAUUAUUUGUUGCUAAUGUAGAACGGAUUCAGUUUGAGGCUGGAAGUCCAAAGAAGCUGCAUCCUGGGCCCAGUUCUCAAGCUGACUCCCUGUGGGACUUUGACUAAGGCCUCCUGACCUCUUUGGGCAUCAUUUGGAUCAUCAGUAAAAUAAAAAGAUUGCAAUAGACACUCCUCAAUGCUUCAUCCUCCCAUACUUAUCACAUCCUCUUAGUAAUUAAUCAAUCAAUUAAUUUAAUAAAUAUUUAUUGAGGACCUGCUGUGAUUCAGGCUUUGCACUUGAACACGGAAAUGCAGGGAGAGCACAAUAAGAAACAAGCUGGUUCUCCCGAGCAUCCAGAGACUUUUACAACAAACAUGGGCUGCAAUUUAGAGAUGUCAUCUCUUUUGAAUGGAAUGUGAAAGACUUUUUUUAAGACCUCUGAGUUUAAGAUCAAACUAAUGAUCUCUAGAGACAUCAUGGCCAAGUCUACUCCAAUUUCAUCUUUCUGACUUGGGUCACCUGUGGAGCUCUCACCUGCAGGUUUACAGGGGGGAAUCUUUGGCUAUUAAAUGAGGACAGACUUUCUAAGGGGAUCAAUGGGAUGUAAAAUGAGGACAGCUGAUAUGUCUUUGGGGGCAGAAUUUUUAGGCACUUAUAAUUAAUACACAUUUUUGGGUGUUUGUGACCUUCAACUUAUUUGCUUUUAUUUUGAAUUUAAAGGAAAACUCUUUCAUCAUAUUUUCUUUUCAAUUAGCUGAAUAUCCCUAGGCCUACUGGACCUAGGGUCUUCUUUCAAGUCCAGCAUGUAGGAGCAGUUAAUAUGAACCACUUUGCAUCCACACCUGUCCUGAUUCUCCCAAGAACUGAAAAGGAAAAAAAAAAUCACCUUAAUUUUUCCCUUAAGUCAUUGCUGGCCAGGCAUAGUGGCUCAUACCUGUAAUCUCAGCACUUUGGGUUGCUAAGGUGGGUGGAUCAGUUGAGGCCAGGAGUUCGAGAACAGCCUGGACAAAAUGGCAAAACCCUGUCUCUACCAUAAAUACACAAAAUUAGCAGGGUGGUGGCACAUGCCCGUAAUCCCAGCUACUGGGGAGGCUGAGGCAUAAGAAUCGUUUGAACCCAGGAGGCAGAGGUUGCAGUGAGUCAAGAUCACACCACUGCUCUCCAGCCUGAGUGACAGCAAGCCUCUAUCUAAAAAAAAAAAAAAAAAAAAAAAACGAAAAAAAAACAAAAAACAAAAAAAAAACCACGCGAAUUUUCCUGAUUUUUUCCUCUUCUUUAGGCUUAGGGAUUAUCACUACUGAAUGUCCAUUACAUGCAGCCAUGCAGGACUUUUUGCUGGAUCCUAGAUGCAGAGUACACAGUGUCUGCCUUCACUAAACUUACAGAAGAAAAACGUAUGAAGAAAAUUAAUUCUACAGCUAGCCAACUCUGGGGAAAUAAACAGGCAGUCAGAUAUUACUGGAACAUACAAGUUUUAAGAUAAUAAUAUUUUUGUGCAGAUUAUUUUACAGAUUCCCAAAUCAAUUAUCUCUUCUUCGAUAUUAACAGAAGUAUAUUCAAGCACAUGACUGGCUAGUUAGACUACGGUAGAGAUGAUUUGUGUCAUUUUCAACCUAUUGCCUUAAGACAGCCUCUUUUACCUUUUCUGUUCUUCCUCCCCACUGGGUGGACAUAAGACAUGACAGUAACCCACCUUUGACUGUGCGGAGGAUGUGCUUUAGGAGGUGAAGGAGCCAGAAGAUGGAAGGAACCUGGAGUCCUGAAUGACUCUGUGGAGUAAAGGCUGCCA